GCUCUUGGUUGAACGAACGCUUAACAGAGUUGUGGGUUUGCCUGUGUUUUAUUUACACGUACCGACAAUGCAAACAUAUAAUGUUGAUCACGUCACGAUACCACAUAUAAAGUCCGUGUUUUUGGACUGCACGCUAUUUUGCUCGCCUGUCUCCAUAAUUGUGUCUCAAAUAAUGCAUGAAUAUUAAAUAAACAACUAAUUGCUACGGCUUCCAGUCGCUGUGAGUAUAAAGUACGAAAUGUAUAUGGAUGUGGCGUGCUUGAUACGCCCAUAGACGAAAUUAUGGUAAAUGCUUGAAAACGUUGAAAGAUAAAUUAUACUUAUUUGUCCAAAAGGGCGCGUUGACAAAAGGAAAGUUUCUGGGGUGUAAUUUGGCAAGUAGCAAGGAGCGGUUAGUUCUUCAAGAUA